GAGUUUGAUCAUGCUCAGAGUGAACGCUGGCGGCAGGCCUAACACAUGCAAGUCGAACGCACCGCAAGGUGAGUGGCAGACGGGUGAGUAACACGUGGGAACGUUCCCUUCAGUUCAGGAUAGCCCCGGGAAACUGGGAUUAAUACUGGAUAUUAUCUACGGAUGAAAGAUUUAUCGCUGAAGGAUCGGCCCGCGUAAGAUUAGCUAGUUGGUGAGGUAAUGGCUCACCAAGGCUAUGAUCUUUAGCUGGUCUGAGAGGAUGAUCAGCCACACUGGAACUGAGACACGGUCCAGACUCCUACGGGAGGCAGCAGUGAGGAAUAUUGGACAAUGGGCGCAAGCCUGAUCCAGCCAUGCCGCGUGAGUGAUGAAGGCCUUAGGGUUGUAAAACUCUUUUAGUUGGAAAUAAUGAUGGUACCAACAGAAAAGCUCCGGCUAACUUCGUGCCAGCCGCCGCAGU
rnacentral:rRNA from 1 species